CAGAGACAGGCCAAGAAAAUCCUCUGAAAAUCAAACUAGUAGCCAAAGGAACAUCGAUGAUGAUCUCCUUCAUUGCAGGCUUCUUCUCACCUCUUAUAGCAAUCAAAUAACUCCUGCCAACCCACCCAAUCCACCCUGCAAUGUACAAGAACAGGAUCCCUGGAGUGAUAAACUCACCCCAGUGUCUCUGGUCGCCGCUCACAAUCAAAUGAGGAAGCCCAUCAGCCCCACAUAGCAAUCCCUGCUUCCCAUAGUUGUCGAAUCUACGUUUCGUCUUCUCUACCGUAGCCUUGAUUGCCAAAGCAGGUGCACUAUCAGGAGCAUACAGUUUUAGAGAACUUUCCAGCUUCUUGAUUUGUUGCUUUUCACGUUUAGCGAACUGCUUGGAUUCUUUGCACGGGGUGAGUCCGGAGAUGUCAGCAACGGCGGGGAGUGGGGCGGAUAAGAGGAUGGAAGAGAGAGCAAGCGCAGCCGAGAAAGCUUGGAGUGGUGAUUUAGAGGAGUCUUUCUCUGGGGUUUGAGCAGCAGAGCAUACAACUGUGGCUCUUGAUGAAGAAGAUAACUUUGAUGGAUUCAAUGGAGAGCCAAGCUUUGGCUUCAACAUAGGUUUUGAGAGAUUGGCAGGUAUUGUAAGAGACAUUUUUCCUCUAAUUGAUUUCUUGGUUUUCUUACAGUAAAGAAAAAAGAGAAAGAGAUAUUGGAAGAG
rnacentral:lncRNA from 1 species